GAUUUCUGGCCUGACGCGCCUGGCCCGCCAGCGUUAGCUGUGUGAGUGCCGGGACGCGUCUGCCAUCCUUCCAGAAAACGUUCCUGCUCUUCACUGAGUUGGGAACGCAAUCUGGAUCUUUUACUUUGAAAAAAUUAGAGUGUUUAAAGCAGGCUUUUUGCUAUGAAUACAUUAGCAUGGAAUAAUAAUUUAGGACUUCGGUUCUAUUUUGUUGGUUUCUAGAACUGAAGUAAUGAUUGAUAGGGAUAGUUGGGGGUGCUAGUAUUCAGCGGCCAGAGGUGAAAUUCUCGGAUUCGCUGAAGACUAACUUAUGCGAAAGCAUU
rnacentral:rRNA from 2 species